UGCUGCACAGAGGAAGAAAUGCUGCGGUGACAAACUGUCCUCUUGUGCAGACCUCCUGCAUCAUCUGCUCCCCCUGGACCACCCUAUGGUAGCCUCUGAACACAGUCUUGCUGCUACUGCAAACCACCUCUGAAACAAAAGACUUUGCAAGGAUGAACGAGACCCUUCCUGUCCCUGUGUUGUCAGCCAGAUCUUGAAGCUCAUUUGACUCUCCUGACUGCUAGCGUUGACCUAAGGCAAGCAGCAGGAAUACAAAAUUAAGCUCUAGUAAGGGUGGGGCUAGUCUCAGUAGGGCACCACAGGCUUGAGCUAGAAUAUGUUGUUCAUAAAACCACAUCCUCAUAGGCUCACACACCAAGGCUUAAGAGAUCAACCUGCCAGAGAAAGACAGGUGCAGUGGAGAGAAGGCAAAUUUUAUAUUGGAAUGUCACUUCACCCAUCAAUUGAUCUCCAGUCUAAGAGCAAAGCAAUAGAAAUGAGGUUGGAAGGAGGAGAAAGGAAACUGACAAUGAUGUAUUCUCUAGAAGAGAUACCACACUCAUUGUGAAUUAUUGUCAAAAGAAACAUUGUCACCAGCCGGAAGACCAUUCACACCGAAAGGGCUGUGCUCACUGAAAGACACAAUAGAAUUCAAAUGCAGUGCCAAGCUCUUCCUCUUCUGUCCACCGCCUCCUCCAGCUGCCCCUUAUUUGAAUCAAAUGGCAACAAGCUUGGACCCUUGUGAAGAGUCUGACUCCCAUAA